AUUGAACGCUGGCGGCAGGCCUAACACAUGCAAGUCGAGCGAGCGGCGGACGGGUGAGUAAUGUCUGGGAAAAUGCCUGAUGGAGGGGGAUAACUACUGGAAACGGUAGCUAAUACCGCCUACCAUCAGGUGUGCCCAGAUGGGAUUUGCUAGUAGGUGGGGGAAUGGGUCACCUAGGCGACGAUCCCUAGCUGGUCUGAGAGGGUGACCAGCCACACUGGAAUGGAGACACGGUCCAGACUCCUACGGGAGGCAGCAGUGGGGAAUAUUGCACAAUGGGCGCAAGCCUGAUGCAGCCAUGCCGCGUGUAUGAAGAAGGCCUUCGGGUUGUAAAGUACUUUCAGCGGGGAGGCGUUACCCGCAGAAGAAGCACCGGCUAACUCCGUGCCAGCAGCCGCGGUAAUUC
rnacentral:rRNA from 1 species